GACGAACGCUGGCGGCGUGCCUAAUACAUGCAAGUUGAGCGCUGAAGGUUGGUACUUGUACCAACUGGAUGAGCAGCGAACGGGUGAGUAACGCGUGGGGAAUCUGCCUUUGAGCGGGGGACAACAUUUGGAAACGAAUGCUAAUACCGCAUAAAAACUUUAAACACAAGUUUAAGUUUGAAAGAUGCAAUUGCAUCACUCAAAGAUGAUCCCGCGUUGUAUUAGCUAGUUGGUGAGGUAAAGGCUCACCAAGGCGAUGAUACAUAGCCGACCUGAGAGGGUGAUCGGCCACAUUGGGACUGAGACACGGCCCAAACUCCUACGGGAGGCAGCAGUAGGGAAUCUUCGGCAAUGGACGAAAGUCUGACCGAGCAACGCCGCGCGAGUGAAGAAGGUUUUCGGAUCGUAAAACUCUGUUGGUAGAGAAGAACGUUGGUGAGAGUGGAAAGCUCAUCAAGUGACGGUAACUACCCAGAAAGGGACGGCUAACUACGUG
rnacentral:rRNA from 1 species